rnacentral:rRNA from 1 species
GACGAACUGUGCAAACGUUAUUCGGAAUCACUGGGCUUGAAGAGUGCGUAGGCGGUUUCGUAAGUAGGGUGUGAAAGCCCCCAGCUCAACUGGGGAACUGCGUCCUAAACUGCGAGGCUAGAGUGAGGUAGGGGUGUGUGGAACUUCCAGUGGAGCGGUGAAAUGUGUUGAUAUUGGAAGGAACGCCGGUGGCGAAAGCGACACACUGGACCUUGUCUGACGCUGAGGCACGAAAGCCAGGGGAGCAAACGGG